rnacentral:sRNA from 1 species
GAAGAGGAACCUAGUUUCACAUCCGAAUCGUUUGUUUAGUGUUUUACCCUAGGACUAGGUCUCCUCCUCAAGCUCAACUCUUAGCUCUGUUACUGGUCCUCGAACUCGGACUCGAUUCUCUCUCGCCGUCUCGCCUCGUCGUCUCCUCCACCACCCUGAGCUCGACUCUGUCACUGGACCGAGGUCUCCUCGAGCUCGACUUUGCCAAUGCCCAAACCAAUGAAGGUUGGUUCUGAUUUAGUUAUUACCGUACAUGUUGAAAUUAAUCACAGAUAUGGGUACUAACAGGUUGUAUGAGAGUGUGUUUGUUUGAUUGAGUUGUAAAAUCGUCGGUCUAUGUUUCUUGCUCUGGGAUUUCACCUUGCAAAACGGAGUCGUCUACUUCGGUGGGAUUUCACAGAUAUAGCCAUUUUUUUGGGUGUAUGAUGGACAUGGUGGGAAGAAGGCUGCAGAUUUUGUUGCUGAGAAUUUGCACAAUGAUAUUGUUGAAAUGAUGGAAAUGCAUACGGAAAUUGAAUAGGCAGGGAAACAGGGUGGGUUUUCAUGGGAAGGUGAGGGGUUGGGGAGUUUGGUGUUCUGCGGAGCAGGGGAUAAACAGAUGGGUUACAGUCUCUGGAGGAAUUGCUCAAGGCGUCAGCGGAGACGCUGGGGAACGAAGAGGAUGACGAAGACCCGUGGGGACCCGUAGGAACCGGCCUGUUCAAAGGUCCGGUUAGGUCCGAAUCCCAUUUUGAAAAAUCCAAAACCCACCCUGCCCCGCCCCGUUUUAUUUACAAACAAGUUCGGUCCGGUUCCUUCAAUUUUGGACCUGGCUUGGCCUGUGCCCACCCCUAGUUAGAACUUCUGUGAAAAUGAGUCACAUGUCACACACAUGAGACUGAAUUGAGGGUCAAAUAUGGAAAACCAAAUAAGAAAAAUUGUAGCAAUGGUCAUUCCAACAUGACUCAUUUUGAUGAAAUUAUGAUGGAGUUAACGA